rnacentral:rRNA from 1 species
AGAGGAAGUAAAAGUCGUAACAAGGUUUCCGUAGGUGAACCUGCGGAAGGAUCAUUAUCGAGUUUUGAACGGGUUGUAGCUGGCCUCAUACGGGGCAUGUGCACGCCUGGCUCAUCCACUCUUCAACCUCUGUGCACUUAUUGUAGAUCGGUGACAAGGUCGAGUUCUUUCACGAGUUCUUGACUGGAAAAACCUUUCUACGUUUUUACCACAAACGCUUCAGUUAUAGAAUGUUUAUCUGCGUAUAACGCAUCUUUAUACAACUUUCAGCAACGGAUCUCUUGGCUCUCGCAUCGAUGAAGAACGCAGCGAAAUGCGAUAAGUAAUGUGAAUUGCAGAAUUCAGUGAAUCAUCGAAUCUUUGAACGCACCUUGCGCUCCCUGGUAUUCCGGGGAGCAUGCCUGUUUGAGUGUCAUGGAAUUCUCAACUCUUAAUACUUUUUUGUAUCAAGAGCUUGGACUUGGAGGCUUGUGCUGGCUGCUCGUUCAGUCGGCUCCUCUGAAAUGCAUUAGCGUGAAUUAAUAUGGAUCGCUUCGGUGUGAUAAUUAUCUGCGCCGUAGUCGUGAAGUACUUGAUAACGUUUACGCUUCUAAUCGUCCUUCACGGGACAAUUAAACCCUGACUUUUUGACCUCAAAUCAGGUAGGACUACCCGCUGAACUUAAGCAUAUC